rnacentral:rRNA from 1 species
ACGGAAGGCAGCAGUGGGGAAUAUUGGGCAAUGGGCGCAAGCCUGACCCAGCAAUGCCGCGUGAAGGAAGAAGGCUUUCGGGUUGUAAACUUCUUUUAAGUGGGACGAUAAUGACGGUACCACUUGAAUAAGCUCCGGCUAACUACGUGCCAGCAGCCGCGGUAAUACGGAGGAUCCGAGCGUUAUCCGGAUUUAUUGGGUUUAAAGGGUGCGCAGGCGGGCUGCUAAGUCUCCGGUGAAAUGUCAGGGCUCAACCUUGGCACUGCCGGAGAUACUGGCGGCCUUGAGAGUGGCGGAGGUAUCCGGAAUGUGUGGUGUAGCGGUGAAAUGCAUAGAUAUCACACAGAACACCGAUUGCGAAGGCAGGAUACCAUACCAUAUCUGACGCUCAGGCACGAAAGCGUGGGGAUCGAACAGGAUUAGAUACCCUGGUA